GACGAACGCUGGCGGCGUGCUUAACACAUGCAAGUCGAACGGUGAAGCUCCAGCUUGCUGGAGUGGAUCAGUGGCGAACGGGUGAGUAACACGUGAGCAACCUGCCCCUGACUCUGGAAUAAGCGCUGGAAACGGCGUCUAAUACUGGAUACGAGAAGGGUCCGCAUGGGCACUUUCUGGAAAGUUUUUCGGUUGGGGAUGGGCUCGCGGCCUAUCAGCUUGUUGGUGAGGUAAUGGCUCACCAAGGCGACGACGGGUAGCCGGCCUGAGAGGGCGACCGGCCACACUGGGACUGAGACACGGCCCAGACUCCUACGGGAGGCAGCAGUGGGGAAUAUUGCACAAUGGGCGAAAGCCUGAUGCAGCGACGCCGCGUGAGGGAUGACGGCCUUCGGGUUGCAAACCUCUUUCAGCAGGGAAGAAGCGAAAGUGACGGUACCUGCAGAAGAAGCACCGGCUAACUACGUG
rnacentral:rRNA from 1 species